UGGGGAAUUUUGGACAAUGGGCGAAAGCCUGAUCCAGCAAUGCCGCGUGUGUGAAGAAGGCCUUCGGGUUGUAAAGCACUUUUGUCCGGAAAGAAAUCCUUGGCUCUAAUACAGUCGGGGGAUGACGGUACCGGAAGAAUAAGCACCGGCUAACUACGUGCCAGCAGCCGCGGUAAUACGUAGGGUGCAAGCGUUAAUCGGAAUUACUGGGCGUAAAGCGUGCGCAGGCGGUUUGCUAAGACCGAUGUGAAAUCCCCGGGCUCAACCUGGGAACUGCAUUGGUGACUGGCAGGCUAGAGUAUGGCAGAGGGGGGUAGAAUUCCACGUGUAGCAGUGAAAUGCGUAGAGAUGUGGAGGAAUACCGAUGGCGAAGGCAGCCCCCUGGGCCAAUACUGACGCUCAUGCACGAAAGCGUGGGGAGCAAACAGGAUUAGAUACCCUGGUAGUCCACGCCCUAAACGAUGUCAACUAGUUGUUGGGGAUUCAUUUCCUUAGUAACGUAGCUAACGCGUGAAGUUGACCGCCUGGGGAGUACGGUCGCAAGAUUAAAACUCAAAUGAAUAGAC
rnacentral:rRNA from 1 species